UACGUAGGUGGCGAGCGUUGUCCGGAUUUACUGGGCGUAAAGAGCGCGCAGGCGGUCGUACAAGUCGCGUGUGAAAGCCCCUGGCUCAACUGGGGAGGGUCACGCGAUACUGUUCGACUCGAAGGCAGGAGAGGGAAGUGGAAUUCCCGGUGUAGUGGUGAAAUGCGUAGAUAUCGGGAGGAACACCAGUGGCGAAGGCGACUUCCUGGCCUGUUCUUGACGCUGAGGCGCGAAAGCUAGGGUAGCAAACGGGAUUAAGAUACCCCAGUAGCU
rnacentral:rRNA from 1 species